rnacentral:rRNA from 1 species
CCUACGGGGGGCUGCAGUGGGGGAUAUUGCACAAUGGGGGGAACCCUGAUGCAGCGACGCCGCGUGGGUGAAGGAGCGUUUCGGCGCGUAAAGCCCUAUCGGCAGGGAAGAAGAUGACGGUACCUGGCCAAGAAGCCCCGGCUAACUACGUGCCAGCCGCCGCGGUCAUACGUAGGGGGCAAGCGUUAUCCGGAUUUACUGGGUGUAAAGGGGGCGCAGACGGCAAUGCAAGCCAGGAGUGAAAGCCCGGGGCCCAACCCCGGGACUGCUCUUGGAAGUGCAGGGCUGGAGUACAGGAGGGGCAGGCGGAAUUCCUAGUGUAGCGGUGAAAUGCGUAGAUAUUAGGAGGAACACCAGUGGCGAAGGCGGCUUACUGGACUGUAACUGACGUUGAGGCUCGAAAGCGUGGGGAGCAAACAGGAUUAGAUACCCCGGUAGUC